ACCAUUGUCGUCUAGCGGUUUAGGAUACCAGAUUUUCAAUAGCUAUCUUGGAGUUCUGGGGGCCGGGGUUCGAACCCCCGCAAUGGCA
rnacentral:tRNA from 1 species